rnacentral:rRNA from 1 species
AUGGACGGUCAUGGAGAUCCCCACUACGGGCGUCACCCUCAGACUCCUGCCCCUACUGACCCUCGAUACCCCCAGUCUGAGGAACAUGGUGUUCCCCUCAAAUGGGCGAGGAAGAAAGCUAAGAUGGAACGGUGGAGGAAGCGCUAUGGUCAACACAGCGAGGAGGCCGUAGCUCUCGAGCUGGAGCAGGGAGCCAGCCAGCUACAGAAGGAGGACCUCCCCGAAACCACAAUAGGUUCUCCCGUCGGCCACACCAUGGGAAGCCAUGGCCACCCUGAAACUCCUCGUGACAUUCAAUACAGCGAGGAGCAAGCUCCUAAUCCGUGGUGGUGCGUGAACCUUAAUCGAGGGGGGGCCAAAAGGGAUCAUAGGGAAGACUCUUCGGCUACUGCUGUGUCGCCCGCAGCCACGAGAGGACGUAUUCGCCAGAGCCUUCUCUAUUCAGAUCGCCCCAGGCGAUCCAAGAGACCUACAUCAGAGAAGCUACCGGUUGAGGAGCAUGCUGAUGAGGUAAGCAGCAGGGAGUUUGAAGCCCUGAAGCUUGAUCAAUCACGCCCUACACCUGAGUCAACUCACAGGCAAGCUGGAAAUGCAACCCAUGUUCGGCAAAGUGUUCUAUAUUCAGGCCGCCUCAGGCGGUCCCGUGGUGGACGAGAACAAGAACCAUCACCGAAUGAACUACUGCAAAUUUUCUUACUUAUUUCUGAUAUUCUGUGUGUGCCUUUUACAUGA